CUUUCGCACACCAACUUUCUUUAGCAAUGAAUCCUAAACAAAGAAGAAAACUUUCUCGCACAACGAAAGAGGCUUAUGAAAAGAAUUAACAAACGAUGUGAAAUAUAUCGUCAUAUAACAUUAAUUAUAAUGAAUAUGCUUUUGCUGCAACGACGCCUUAAAAAUAGAGAGGCAACGACUAGGCGUCUUCUUGCAACUACAAACUCUCUCAUAGCUAUUAAAUCACCAUGUGUUACUAAGGAUAAUCUUAAUGAUGAAUGCUAUUCCUCUAUUUCACAAAGGCUACAAGUUUAACAUUCAGUGAUAAAUCAUGCAUCUCUAUGCCAUCUAUCGAUAUAAAAGUGGCAUGAUCCAGAAGCCAGUACAUUGUUUUUAUGUCAGUGCAACAAACUAGCGAAGCCAAGGUUUCAGUUUCACCUUUAUCACUUGAAGAAGCAAAAGGACCACCCUUGAAUAUCUACAAGCCCAAGGAACUAUACACAACGACAAUUGUCUCUGUUGAAAGGAUUGUAGGCCCAAAAGCUUCCGGGGAGACUUGUCAUAUUGUCAUUGAUUAUGAUGGCAACCUUCCUUACUGGGAAGGACAAAGUUAUAGUGUCGUUCCUCCUGGUGAAAACACUAAGAAACCAGGGAGUCCCCACAACAUUCGUCUAUAUUCAAUUGCAUCCACCAGAUAUGGGAACUCUUUUGAUGGGAAAACAGCCAGCUUGUGUGUCAGACGAGCUUUCUACUAUGAUCCUGAGACACGAAAAGAAGACCCAUCCAAAAAUGGUUUUUGCAGCAAUUUCCUAUGCAAUGCGUAGCCUGGUAACAGACUGAAGAUCACAAGUGAAAUCUAAAUAGUCCUUUUACAGAUGUUAUUCAAAAAAGACUUUACAUGCCAACACUACUCGUCUUCCAUACAUUGCAUUCCCAAUUGGUGACGUCUGAUCUCAUUUGCGAGUAGGUUUUCCAACAUUUCAAAAGAGGGACAAAGAAAUGAUCUUUGAGGCAUCAUACUAUUAAAAGUGGUCUUGUCAGCUGAUAUACCGUGGUUUCACGGAAAUCUGUCUAAAAUAUGAAUGCAGAGGUUUUUGAGCACGAAAUACAGAAAAGUACC